AUUGAACGCUGGCGGCAGGCUUAACACAUGCAAGUCGAGCGGGGUGAUGGUGCUUGCACUAUCACUUAGCGGCGGACGGGUGAGUAAUGCUUAGGAAUCUGCCUAUUAGUGGGGGACGACAUCUCGAAAGGGAUGCUAAUACCGCAUACGACCUACGGGAGAAAGCAGGGGCUCACUUGUGACCUUGCUCUCAUAGAUGAGCCUAAGUCGGAUUAGCUAGUUGGUGGGGUAAAGGCCUACCAAGGCGACGAUCUGUAGCGGGUCUGAGAGGAUGAUCCGCCACACUGGGACUGAGACACGGCCCAGACUCCUACGGGAGGCAGCAGUGGGGAAUAUUGGACAAUGGGGGGAACCCUGAUCCAGCCAUGCCGCGUGUGUGAAGAAGGCCUUAUGGUUGUAAAGCACUUUAAGCGAGGAGGAGGCUCUUUUGGUUAAUACCCAAGAUGAGUGGACGUUACUCGCAGAAUAAGCACCGGCUAACUCUGUGCCAGCCGCCGCCGUAA
rnacentral:rRNA from 1 species